UUCACGGAGAGUUUGAUCCUGGCUCAGGACGAACGCUGGCGGCGUGCUUAACACAUGCAAGUCGAACGAUGAAGCCCUUCGGGGUGGAUUAGU
rnacentral:rRNA from 1 species